rnacentral:tRNA from 1 species
GGGGUUGUGCCUCAAAGGUAUAGCGCACGCCUAGAAUGCGUGAGGCACUGGGUUCAAUCCUCAGCACCACA